rnacentral:rRNA from 1 species
CAAUAGCGUAUAUUAAAGUUGUUGCAGUUAAAAAGCUCGUAGUUGAAUUUUUGCUUGCCGCCGAUGUCGGAACUUCCGUACGUUCGGCGGCGUGCAUCCUUGGGUGGAACCUGUGUGGCAUUAGGUUGUCGUGCAGGGGAUGCUCAUCGUUUACUGUGAAAAAAUUAGAGUGUUCAAAGCAGGCUUACGCCGUUGAAUAUAUUAGCAUGGAAUAAUAAGAUAGGACCUUGGUACUAUUUUGUUGGUUUGCGCACCGAGGUAAUGAUUAACAGGGACAGUUGGGGGUAUUCGUAUUCCAUUGUCAGAGGUGAAAUUCUUGGAUUUCUGGAAGACGAACUACUGCGAAAGCAUUUACCAAGGAUGUCUUCAUUA